rnacentral:rRNA from 1 species
UACGUAGGUGGCAAGCGUUGUCCGGAUUUACUGGGCGUAAAGGGCGUGCAGGCGGUUUGUUAAGUGCAGGGUGAAAGCUCCCGGCUCAACUGGGAGAGGUCCUUGCAUACUGGCGAACUCGAGGGAGGCAGAGGAAAGUGGAAUUCCUGGUGUAGCGGUGAAAUGCGUAGAUAUCAGGAGGAACACCGGUGGUGUAGACGGCUCACUGGACCGUAACUGACGCUGAGACACGAAAGCGUGGGUAGCAAACAGG